AACGAACGCUGGCGGCAUGCCUAACACAUGCAAGUCGAACGAGACCUUCGGGUCUAGUGGCGCACGGGUGCGUACCGCGUGGUAACCUGCCCUUAGGUUCGGAAUAACUCCCCGAAAGGGGUGCUAAUACCGGAUAAUGUCUUCGGACCAAAGAUUUAUCGCCUUUGGAUGGGCCCGCGUUGGAUUCGCUAGUUGGUAGGGUAAAAGCCUACCAAGGCGACGAUCCAUAGCUGGUCUGAGAGGAUGAUCAGCCACACUGGGACUAAGACACGGCCCAGACUCCUACGGGAGGCAGCAGUGGGGAAUAUUGGACAAUGGACGAAAGCCUGAUCCAGCAAUGCGGCGUGAGUGAUGAAGGCCUUAGGAUUGUAAAUCUCUUUUACCCGGGAUGAUAAUGACAGUACCGGGAGAAUAAGCUCCGGCUAACUCCGUG
rnacentral:rRNA from 1 species